GACGAACGCUGGCGGCGUGCUUAACACAUGCAAGUCGAACGGUAAGGCCCUUCGGGGUACACGAGUGGCGAACGGGUGAGUGACACGUGGGUGAUCUGCCCUGCACUUCGGGAUAAGCCUGGGAAACUGGGUCUAAUACCGGAUAGGACCACUGCCUGCAUGGGUGGUGGUGGAAAGCUUUUGCGGUGUGGGAUGGGCCCGCGGCCGAUCAGGUUGUUGGUGGGGUGAUGGCCUACUAAGGCGACGACGGGUAGCCGGCCUGGGAGGGUGACCGGCCACACUGGGACUGAGGGACGGCCCAGACUGCUACGGGAGGCAGCAGUGGGGAAUAUUGCACAGUGGGCGCAAGCCUGAUGCAGCGACGCCGCGUGAGGGAUGACGGCCUUCGGGUUGUAAACCUCUUUCAGCACCGACGAAGCGCAAGUGACGGUAGGUGCAGAAGAAGGACCGGCCAACUACGUGCCAGCCGCCGCCGUAA
rnacentral:rRNA from 1 species